UAGGUUGAUGCUCAAUCACUUGAGCCACGCCAGCCGGGCUUGAUUUGUUUUUGUGUUAAAAAUCUCUGGAGCUCUAAUAAGUCUUCUAUUUCAUGCGUAAGCAAAAACCAGCGUUCCCUCUGAGCGUGUUGUAUGAGUAUCCGGAAACAAUAUUGAAAUCAGAUCUUCUGAGACAGAGGACAGUUAGUUACCAUUUCUCUGUGUACAGGCUGUGUUAGGAAACUUUGGCCUCUGUCCAGUGAGAAAUAAAAAUACUGUUUGCCUGGAAGUUUGCAGAGAGCACUGUAUGUUGAUGGAGAAGGUAGGGAGACGAUAAAAACACUUCUGAAAGAAAACUUUAGCUGUUAUAAAUCCUAUUAAAUUGUGUCCAGUGUAAAACAAGUUCAGUAAGGAGAAGAUGGUAUUGUGUGAGUGGAAGAAGUAAGCCUGGGAUGAGACAUUUGAGCCAGGUCACAUGACGCUCGAAUAUAAAUAGCAUGUUUGGGAGCUGACAUUAUUCCUCCCUGACUCAGCAGAGACUUAAGUAACUGCAGCUCUGCUCCUGAGAGCCCAGGCGGAAAUGAGACGCCUUGCGCCACCUGCUGAUGCCAAAUGAAUACUGCAUGUGCUUUGAAAACUAUGAACUUGUUUUCUCCUGUCCUUAGACAUGUUUUGGGGCUGUUUGUUUGGUGUUUUGCAAUAACUUUCUUUAUUUUUAUUCUUUUGAAAUCUUUAUCAAAGGCCAGCAAGUUAAGUGAAUUUUUAUUUAGGGACACAAAAGUAAUACUGUCCGCUCUAGUCUAGGCACAGAGGAUUUGGUUCUGGGCUGAAAUAAUUAACAACAUAUAUAAAAUUAAUAUUUUUUUCCUACAAUAAAAGUUCAGCACAAAUAUACAAGGUAGUAAAUCCAUAUGAAGGGGUGCCCAGUACUCUAGGACAGAAGCCAAAGCACUUAAUAAGACUCAUGAGACUCGCUUUACUUUGGUCCCAGGGCCUCAUCUUAAGAGCAUAGUUUGUCCCUUAUUUCUGGCUUUCAGUCCCUCAGAAGGUGCAUAGUUCUUCCUCCCUCAGAGUUCUUGAAAAAAUAUAGUUUGUUUUGUUUGUUUAAAAUUCAUCCCUGUUUAGAACAUGCACAGUAUAUCAAGAAGAUAAUAUUUGACCUAUCAAACCGGUGAAGGUUAAAAAAGCACUGAUACUCCUCCAAGUACAUGGUCUGAGAGGCAGGCACACUCACACAUUGCUGGCAGGAUAGUAAACUGAUACGCCUUCCCAGAAAUCAAUUCGAAUCAGGUACCUUUAAAUUUUUCAUAUCAUUUGUCAGAGAAAUUCUAUCUCCAAGAACCUAUUCUAAGGAAGCAGAGAUCCCAUGACUGCUAUUGGAAUGAAUAAGUAAGUUACAGUUUAUUUAAUGUGUGUGUCACUGGCUAAAAUGCAUCAGGUUCAUCAUUGUACUUACAACAUCUAAAACGUGCCUUCAUCAUAGCAGUUGCUCAAUAACUAUUUGGGAAAGAGAAUGCAAUGGUGUUAAUAAUAU